GGUGAGGUGUCCGAGUGGCUGAAGGAGCACGCCUGGAAAGCGUGUAUAGGUGAAUAGCCUAUCACGGGUUCGAAUCCCGUCCUCACCGCCA
rnacentral:tRNA from 1 species